rnacentral:tRNA from 2 species
GGGCUCAUAGCUCAGUUGGUUAGAGCACCUGACUCAUAAUCAGGUGGUCGCAGGUUCGAGCCCUGCUGGGCCCA